UACGGAGGGUGGCAAGCGUUAUCCGGAUUCACUGGGUUUAAAGGGUAGCGUAGUGGGUUGAUAAGUCAGUGGUGAAAUCUCCGAGCUUAACUUGGAAACUGCCAUUGAUACUAUUAGUCUUGAAUACCGUGGAGGUUAGUGGAAUAUGUCAUGUAGCGGUGAAAUGCUUAGAUAUGACAAUAGAACACCCAUUGCGAAGGCAGCUGACUACGCGGUAAUUGACACUGAGGCACGAAAGCGUGGGGAUCAAACAGG
rnacentral:rRNA from 1 species